CUCUAGCCUUCCAAGCUAUGGAUGCGGGUUCGAUUCCCGCUACCCGCU
rnacentral:tRNA from 1 species